ACGGUGAGUAACACGUGGGGGUAACCCUGCCCAAGAGGAUCGGGGAUAACACCUGGGAAACAGAUGCUAAUACCGGAUAACAACAGAUGAUGCCUAUCAACUGUUUAAAAGAUGGUUCUGCUAUCACUCUUGGGAUGGACCUGCGGUGCAUUAGCUAGUUGGUAGGGGUAACGGGCCUACCAAGGCGAUGAUGCAUAGCCCGAGUCGAGAGACUGAUCGGGCCACAUUGGGACUGAGACACGGGCCCAAACUCCUACGGGAGGCAGCAGUAGGGGAAUCUUCCACAAUGGACGCAAAGUCUGAUGGAGCAAAACGCCGCGUGAGUGAAGAAGGGUUUCGGCUCGUAAAAGCUCUGUUGUUGGUGAAGAAGGACAGGGGUAGUAACUGACCCUUUGUUUGACGGUAAUCAAUUUAGAAAGUCACGGGCUAACUACGUGCCCAGCAGCCGCGGUAAAU
rnacentral:rRNA from 1 species